rnacentral:rRNA from 1 species
UACGGGCGGCAGCAGUGGGGAAUAUUGGACAAUGGGCGAAAGCCUGAUCCAGCCAUGCCGCGUGUGUGAAGAAGGCCUUCGGGUUGUAAAGCACUUUCAGUGGGGAAGAAAGCCUUGGGGCUAAUACCCUCGAGGAAGGACAUCACCCACAGAAGAAGCACCGGCUAACUCCGUGCCAGCAGCCGCGGUAAUACGGAGGGUGCGAGCGUUAAUCGGAAUUACUGGGCGUAAAGCGCGCGUAGGCGGUCUGAUAAGCCGGUUGUGAAAGCCCCGGGCUCAACCUGGGAACGGCAUCCGGAACUGUCAGGCUAGAGUGCAGGAGAGGAAGGUAGAAUUCCCGGUGUAGCGGUGAAAUGCGUAGAGAUCGGGAGGAAUACCAGUGGCGAAGGCGGCCUUCUGGACUGACACUGACGCUGAGGUGCGAAAGCGUGGGUAGCAAACAGGAUUAGAUACCCGAGUAGUC